UACGAAGGGGGCUAGCGUUGCUCGGAAUCACUGGGCGUAAAGCGCACGUAGGCUGUUUUGUAAGUUAGAGGUGAAAGCCUGGGGCUCAACUCCAGAAUUGCCUUUAAGACUGCAUCACUUGAACACGGGAGAGGUGAGUGGAAUUCCGAGUGUAGAGGUGAAAUUCGUAGAUAUUCGGAAGAACACCAGUGGCGAAGGCGGCUCACUGGACCGUUGUUGACGCUGAGGUGCGAAAGCGUGGGGAGCAAACAGG
rnacentral:rRNA from 1 species